UACGUAGGGACCAAGCGUUGUUCGGAUUUACUGGGCGUAAAGGGCGCGUAGGCGGCGCGGUAAGUCACUUGUGAAAUCUCUGAGCUUAACUCAGAACGGCCAAGUGAUACUGCAGUGCUAGAGUGCGGAAGGGGCAAUCGGAAUUCUUGGUGUAGCGGUGAAGUGCGUAGAUAUCAAGAGGAACACCUGAGGUGAAGACGGGUUGCUGGGCCGACACUGACGCUGAGGCGCGAAAGCCAGGGGAGCAAACGGG
rnacentral:rRNA from 1 species